rnacentral:misc_RNA from 1 species
UUUCCGUAGGUGAACCUGCGGAAGGAUCAUUAAUAAUCAAGGGUUUUAUGGCCCUUUUUAAAAAUCCAUAUCCAUCGUGUGUGCAAGGUUAAGUCUCUCGUCCAUCACAGUUUCGUCUGGUCUGAGGCAGGGUCUUUAUAUAUCUACUCUUUCUUAAACCAAUAUGUCUGAAAAAUAUUUUCAAUUCUGAAAUCAAAAUACAACUUUCAACAACGGAUCUCUUGGAUCUC